CAGAAACAAACAAACAUAGCGCUAAUUCACUAAAUAACUAAUUUUGUUCUAUCUUCACAACUGACGACAGGAAACUGCCCCAAAUUGACAUCACAGUUAACAGUAGACUAAGCCCUCUUACCUUCACAGAGGCCGGAGUACUGAACCUUCUCUUAACCCUGGACACGAAAAAAAGGGUCAAG
rnacentral:lncRNA from 1 species